rnacentral:rRNA from 1 species
UACGUAGGGUCCGAGCGUUGUCCGGAAUUAUUGAGCGUAAAGGGCUCGUAGGCGGUCCGUCACGUCGGGAGUGAAAACUCAGGGCUCAACCCUGAGCGUGCUUCCGAUACGGGCGGACUAGAGGUAUGCAGGGGAGAACGGAAUUCCUGGUGUAGCGGUGGAAUGCGCAGAUAUCAGGAGGAACACCGGUGGCGAAGGCGGUUCUCUGGGACGGUACUGACGCUGAGACGCGAAAGCGUGGGGAGCGAACAGG